CAGUCGCCGCGGUAAUACGUAGGGUGCGAGCGUUAAUCGGAAUUACUGGGCGUAAAGCGUGCGCAGGCGGUUCGUUAAGACAGAUGUGAAAUCCCCGGGCUUAACCUGGGAACUGCAUUUGUAACUGGCGAGCUAGAGUAUGGCAGAGGGGGGUAGAAUUCCACGUGUAGCAGUGAAAUGCGUAGAGAUGUGGAGGAAUACCGAUGGCGAAGGCAGCCCCCUGGGCCAAUACUGACGCUCAUGCACGAAAGCGUGGGGAGCAAACAGGAUUAGAUACCCCUGUAGUCCCUGUCUCUUAUAC
rnacentral:rRNA from 1 species